rnacentral:rRNA from 1 species
AGAGUUUGAUCCUGGCUCAGGAUGAACGCGGGCGGCGUGCUUAAUACAUGCAAGUCGAAUGGAGACUGUAGCAAUACUGUCUUAGUGGCGAACGGGUGAGUAACGCGUUGGUGACCUGCCCCGAAGAGGGGGAUAACAGUCCGAAAGGAUUGCUAAUACCCCAUGUGGUCGUUUGGAUUAGAUGCCUUACGACUAAACGGAUUUAUUCGUUUCGGGAGGGGCCUGCGUCCCAUCAGCUAGUUGGUAGGGUGAUAGCCUACCAAGGCGAUGACGGGUAGGGGACCUGAGAGGGUGGCCCCCCACAAUGGAACUGAAACACGGUCCAUACACCUACGGGUGGCAGCAGUAGGGAAAUAUUGGUAAUCUGGGAAACCGGGAACCAGCAACGCCGCGUGCGCGACGAAGGCCUUCGGGUUGUAAAGCGCUUUUUAAAGGGAUGAGGAAGGACAGUACCUUUAGAAUAAGCCUCGGCUAACUACGUGCCAGCAGCCGCGGUAAAACGUAGGAGGCGAGUGUUAUCCGGAUUUACUGGGCGUAAAGCGUGUGCAGGCGGUUUGAUAAGUUGGAUGUGAAAGCUCCUGGCUUAACCGGGAGAGGUCGUUCAAAACUAUCAGACUAGAGAGUGGUAGAGGGAGAUGGAAUUCCGCGUGUAGUGGUGAAAUGCGUAGAUAUGCGGAGGAACACCAGUGGCGAAAGCGGUCUCCUGGCCCAUUUCUGACGCUCAGACACGAAAGCUAAGGUAGCAAACGGGAUUAGAGACCCCGGUAGUCUUAGCUGUAAACGAUGCAAACUGGAUGUUGGGUGCAAUUUGGCACGCAGUAUCGAAGCUAACGCGUUAAGUUCGCCGCCUGGGGAGUACGGUCGCAAGACUGAAACUCAAAGGAAUUGACGG